rnacentral:ribozyme from 1 species
ACUGCACAACAUCAACAGCCUUCACGCGGCGUGCAGUGAACAACGUACAAUCCGUACGGCUAAUGUUGAG